rnacentral:rRNA from 1 species
AUGGGCGUGCGCUCAAAGGAUACAAAUAGGGAUUCGCAAACAAAAAGGGGAAUUCGUAGUCACUUUUUCCUGUCGCGUAAAAAAAAGUCUUUACGCUAGAGCAAUAGAGGUUGGGAUACAUCUAUCUCUUCUGAGCAACCUCUUUUGGAUUCUUAA